rnacentral:rRNA from 1 species
CGGGUGAGUAACACGUGGAUAACCUACCUAUAAGACUGGGAUAACUUCGGGAAACCGGAGCUAAUACCGGAUAAUAUAUUGAACCGCAUGGUUCAAUAGUGAAAGACGGUUUUGCUGUCACUUAUAGAUGGAUCCGCGCCGCAUUAGCUAGUUGGUAAGGUAACGGCUUACCAAGGCAACGAUGCGUAGCCGACCUGAGAGGGUGAUCGGCCACACUGGAACUGAGACACGGUCCAGACUCCUACGGGAGGCAGCAGC